GCUUGGUAGCGUAGUGGUUAUCGCAAGGGUCUAGUGCGCACUAGAUAUGAAGCCUCGUUCGAAUCGAGGACUGAGCA
rnacentral:tRNA from 1 species